GGCCCUACGGGGUGCAGCAGGCGCGAAAACUUUACAAUGCUGGGAACAGCGAUAAGGGAACCUCGAGUGCCAGGUUACAAAUCUGGCUGUCGUGAUGCCUAAAAAGCAUUAUAUAGCAAGGGCCGGGCAAGACCGGUGCCAGCCGCCGCGGUAACACCGGCGGCUCGAGUGGUAACCGUUAUUAUUGGGUCUAAAGGGUCUGUAGCCGGCCGGAUAAGUCUCUUGGGAAAUCUGGCAGCUCAACUGUCAGGCUUUCAGGGGGUACUGUCUGGCUCGAGGCCGGGAGAGGUGAGAGGUACUUCAGGGGUAGGGGUGAAAUCUUGUAAUCCUUGAAGGACCACCAGUGGCGAAGGCGUCUCACCAGAACGGACCUGACGGCAAGGGACGAAAGCUAGGGGCACGAACCGGAUUAGAUACCCGGGUAGUCCUAGCCGUAAACGAUACUCGCUAGGUGUCGGCCACGGUGCGACCGUUGUCGGUGCCGUAGGGAAGCCGUGAAGCGAGCCACCUGGGAAGUACGGCCGCAAGGCUGAAACUUAAAGGAAUUGGCGGGGGAGCACCACAACGGGUGGAGCUUGCGGUUUAAUUGGAUUCAACGCCGGAAAUCUUA
rnacentral:rRNA from 1 species